ACUUUAGGCCAUGACACCUAAAAAACCAACAAUGUAAUUUCACCAAGCAUGAUAAGCAGGGUCGGGCCUUCAAAGUACUUGGCUGGGAGACUGCCUGGGAAUACCGGGUGCUGUAAGCA
rnacentral:rRNA from 1 species